UCCAGACUCCUACGGGAGGCAGCAGUGGGGAAUAUUGCACAAUGGGGGAAACCCUGAUGCAGCGACGCCGCGUGAGUGAAGAAGUAUUUCGGUAUGUAAAGCUCUAUCAGCAGGGAAGAAAAUGACGGUACCUGAUUAAGAAGCCCCGGCUAACUACGUGCCAGCAGCCGCGGUAAUACGUAGGGGGCAAGCGUUAUCCGGAUUUACUGGGUGUAAAGGGAGCGUAGACGGUGAUGCAAGUCAGAAGUGAAAGCCUGGGGCUCAACUCCGGGACUGCUUUUGAAACUGUGUGACUGGAGUGCAGGAGAGGUAAGCGGAAUUCCUGGUGUAGCGGUGAAAUGCGUAGAUAUCAGGAGGAACACCAGUGGCGAAGGCGGCUUACUGGACUGUAACUGACGUUGAGGCUCGAAAGCGUGGGGGGCAAACAGGAUUAGAUACCCUUGUA
rnacentral:rRNA from 1 species